rnacentral:lncRNA from 1 species
GUCAGUGACAACCUUGUUGACCUGUUGUGUGUGUUGGUGGGGAGAGAGUGUAGCUACAAAAGACCAAAAAAAGGCCAAACAAAGAAACAAUCCAGACAUUAGCAAUCUUGCCUGUCUAUUCACAAUGGCCUUCACACCCAUGUUAACUGUUCCAUAGUGCUGUGCUCCAUCUUAGGGGCUUGUCCAUCACCUCUCUUCCAGUGUAUAUUUAAAAAUUCAGUUUUUUCUUACCAUUGGUAAAUUCUUUUUAUUGUUCAUAUCACCAGCCUUCCAAAUGCUGUCUUGUAUGUCACAUAGAGAGAAGGCACACUUAGAUUGUUAGAUAACUGGAGACUCACUCUGACUCAUGACCAGGACAGCCUGAAGGUUUUCUUAGGCAUGAAAAUGAGCCAAGAAGCUAUCUCAUGAGCAGAUAAAAAUUAGCCCAGGAAGAAAGGUCAUUAUAUUUUUCCAAAAGAAGUUGGGCAGUCCCAAGGCAGCUGAGUGUGUCUGCUGGACUCACAUCAAUGUUCCAGGGGAGACUGAAGCACACCUUGGCUACUGCUAAGUGAUGGUGGAAGCUGAGGCGAGCACUAUGCUCUCCUGCCUGUAGGUGAUAAACAUCCUUCACGGUUGUGUCCUGACUGUGAUUUUAAGUCUCGCACUUGAAGCUGCUCACACAGCCACAGCUGGGAUGCUGGUGCUAAGCUUGCUUCUUCGGUUUUCUCCAUUUUACUCAGUCCGGGACCCCAGACCAUGGAUGGUGCAACUGACUUUCAGUGCAAGUCUUCCUCACUCAGCUCAACACCCUCCUAAGACACAUCCAGAGGUGUGAUUCCAUAUCUCAGGUCACACUCUAUCACUGAGGAAAGUCAGGGCAGGACCCUGGAGACAGGAACUGAAGUAGAGGCCAUGGGAGAACGCUGCUUGCUGGCUUGCUUCUCAUGCCUUGUUCAGCCUACCUUCUGAUCGAUAUACCUCAAGACCGUCCCCCAUGGGCUGGGCCCCUUCACAUCAACCUGGAUGAAGGCAUUUUUCGCAACUGGGUCUCCCUUUUGCCAAAUGACUAAAGCAUUGAUUGGUCAAGUUGACAAGAUAACCAACACAUGAAGAAGAGAAAUGGGCCUAAUAAAAAAUUUGAAUCCCUGUCCACAAAAUAAAAUAAAAUAAAUUCAACUGUUGUAUAAUUCCGUGUGACACAUGAGACAGAUUUGGGGGAGGCUCUGUGUUGACUAAGCAUCCUGUCACGUAGCCUGUGGGCCUGGAUCUGAGGCCCUGUCACAGAUAUUAAC